AAACCACGUGCUGAUCGCAAAUCGCAAGGAUUUCAAACUUCAGUUAUUUCCAGUCGGUAAAUCAAUAGUUACCCCAGACGUAUUUCAAAUGAUGAUGUCAUAUAUUUGAGUGAAGGUCAAUUCAAAAUUGAGACAGGAAUUGUGACACAGAUGUUGUCACAAAGUGCCUGUGAUGUUGUAUGUUUGAUUUUGAUCAUUCAAUGAUACUUGGGAAACCCGAAGAAUGACAUUCAACAUAUCAAACAGAUAUCAUAAAGUCAUACUAAGUUACUAAAAAUGGUGACCUAGUCCAGUCUUGGACUAUUUCAUGCUUGAAACAGAAAGUUCAUGCAAAUGAAAGUUAACAUGUGGAAUGCAGCUGUUUUAAUAUGAUCCACUUGGUUAAAUGCCGUAAUGCAAACAGCUAUCUACCUGUGGUUCAGUGGUUUUUAAAUAAAUGGCAUUAAGGUGACAAGAGGGUUUGAACUAGAUUAAGGUAACAAUUUUUUCUUCUUUACUGGUAGUUCACAUGGCAAUAUUGAAAAUGAUGGUUUCGUCCGUUAUUCUUCUAUGUUUUUCUGCUAUGUUUUUCUGCUACAAUAUAUGCAUUUAUCGAUCAACGUCUUUUCCUUUUGUUUGUUGUCUUGUUUGGUGUUCCCCCUUGUGUGGUGUUUGUUGUCUUGUGUGGUGUCCCCCCCGGCCUAGCUGCUUGUUUUUUCUGUGCUUGUCUAUGUACUCAUUUUGUAGCAUUGCUUAUUUUAACUAAAGCUAUUCUUUGUUUAACUACAUCAGUAAUUUUGUUUGCUGUGAUACUGGCAGUACGUUUUUACCUAAAGGUAGGCGGCAUUGUAACGUAAUGCGGAGCAA